CACUCUAAGCGGUGGAUCACUCGGCUCAUGGGUCGAUGAAGAACGCAGCAAACUGUGCGUCAUCGUGUGAACUGCAGACACAUGAACAUCGACAUUUUGAACGCAUAUCGCAGUCCAUGCUG
rnacentral:rRNA from 1 species